UACGAAGGGGGCUAGCGUUGCUCGGAAUCACUGGGCGUAAAGGGUGCGUAGGCGGGUCUUUAAGUCAGGGGUGAAAUCCUGGAGCUCAACUCCAGAACUGCCUUUGAUACUGAAGAUCUUGAGUGCGGGAGAGGUGAGUGGAACUGCGAGUGUAGAGGUGAAAUUCGUAGAUAUUCGCAAGAACACCAGUGGCGAAGGCGGCUCACUGGCCCGAUACUGACGCUGAGGCACGAAAGCUAGGGGAGCAAACAGG
rnacentral:rRNA from 1 species